rnacentral:misc_RNA from 1 species
GCAAACUUGGUCAUUUAGAGGAAGUAAAAGUCGUAACAAGGUCUCCGUUGGUGAACCAGCGGAGGGAUCAUUAACAGUGGAGUGCACGUAGCUCCUAAACCCAUUGUGAACAUACCUAAAAGUCAGUUGCCUCGGCGGGAGGCCCCUGGGAGGGGCCCCGGGGCCCGGCCUGAGCCGGGCUCCCGCCGGGGGAGCACAAACCAAAACUCUUUGCUGUACCCCAGUGGCACCUCCGAGUCAAAAACAAAAAACAAGUUAAAACUUUCAACAACGGAUCUCUUGGUUCUGGCAUCGAUGAAGAACGCAGC